GUGGGGAAUCUUGCGCAAUGGGCGAAAGCCUGACGCAGCCAUGCCGCGUGAAUGAUGAAGGUCUUAGGAUUGUAAAAUUCUUUCACCGGGGACGAUAAUGACGGUACCCGGAGAAGAAGCUCCGGCUAACUUCGUGCCAGCAGCCGCGGUAAUACGAAGGGGGCUAGCGUUGCUCGGAAUUACUGGGCGUAAAGGGCGCGUAGGCGGACCGCUUAGUCAGAGGUGAAAGCCCAGGGCUCAACCUUGGAAUUGCCUUUGAUACUGGCUGUCUUGAGUUUGGGAGAGGUGAGUGGAACUCCGAGUGUAGAGGUGAAAUUCGUAGAUAUUCGGAAGAACACCAGUGGCGAAGGUGACUCACUGGCCCAAUACUGACGCUGAGGCGCGAAAGCGUGGGGAGCAAACAGGAUUAGAAACCCGAGUAGUCC
rnacentral:rRNA from 1 species